GAUGAACGCUGGCGGCGUGCCUAAUACAUGCAAGUCGAGCGAAGGGACGAGAAGCUUGCUUCUCUGAUGUUAGGGGCGGACGGGUGAGUAAUAAGUGGAUAACAUACCUAUAAGACUGGGAUAACAUCGGGAAACCGGAGCUAAUACUGGAUAAUAUUUUGAACCGCAUGGUUGAAGAGUGAGAGACGGUCUUGCUGUCGGUUAUAGAUGGAUCCGCGCUGCAUUAGCUAGUUGGUAAGGUAACGGCUUACCAAGGCGACGAUGCAUAGCUGACCUGAGAGGGGGAUCGGCCGCCCUGGAGCUGCUGCGCGGUCCAGCCUCCUACGGCAGGCAGCAGUAGGGAAUCUUCCGCAAAGGUCGAAGGCCUGCCGGUGCAGCGCCGCCUGAGUGAUGAAGGUCUUCUUAUCGUAAUGCUCUGUUAUUAGCGGAGAACAUGUGUGUAAGUAACUGUGCGCAGCUUGACGGUACCUAAUCAGAAAGCCCCGGCUAACUACGUG
rnacentral:rRNA from 1 species